rnacentral:rRNA from 1 species
CAACUUUCAGUGAUGGAUAUCUUGGCUCGAGCACCUGUGAAGGGCGCAGCGAAGCGCGAUAGUCUUUGGGAAUUGCAGAACUCCGUGAACCAAUGGCCUCCUGAACGUACGUUGCACUCUCGGGUUUUCCUGAGAGUAUGUCUGCUUCAGUG